rnacentral:other from 1 species
UAUUGCCUGCGGUGUUCGAGUAGUUCUCCGAAUCCCUUCGAACCUAAUCUUAUAUCUCGGGUGCUGUGACGAGUGGCGGGCGUGUAUGACCCCGGUCUGACUGGCGCGAUUCCCGAAGUUGCUCUUGGCACCCACUUGGACCUUGCGGUUCAAGGUAAUGUGAGCAUACGGCACUGGCGGACAAUGC